rnacentral:rRNA from 1 species
AACCUUUACACUGCACGCCAGUGCGAUAAGGGGAUCCCGAGUGCGCAGGCAUACAGCCUGCGCUUUUCUGAACCGUACGAAGGUUCAGGAACAAGAGCUGGGCAAGACCGGUGCCAGCCGCCGCGGUAAUACCGGCAGCUCGAGUGAUGGCCGAUCUUAUUGGGCCUAAAGCGUCCGUAGCUGGCCUUGCAAGUCCGUCGGGAAAUCCACCCGCUCAACGGGUGGGCGUCCGGCGGAAACUGCAAGGCUUGGGACCGGGAGGCUUGAAGGGUACGUCCGGGGUAGGAGUGAAAUCCCGUAAUCCUGGACGGACCGCCGAUGGGGAAACCACUUCAAGAGAACGGAUCCGACAGUGAGGGACGAAAGCUAGGGUCUCGAACCGGAUUAGAUACCCGGGUAGUCCUAGCUGUAAACGAUGCCUGUUAGGUGUGACUCCCACUACGAGUGGGUGUUGUGCCGUAGGGAAGCCGCUAAACAGGCCGCCUGGGAAGUACGUCUGCAAGGAUGAAACUUAA